rnacentral:rRNA from 1 species
UACGUAGGGGGCAAGCGUUGUCCGGAUUUAUUGGGCGUAAAGAGCGUGUAGGCGGCUUGGAAGGUCAGCUGUGAAAACUCGAGGCUCAACCUGGAGCCGCCAUUCGAUACUGCUAUGGCUAGAGUCCGGUAGGGGAGUGUGGAAUUCCCGGUGUAGCGGUGAAAUGCGCAGAUAUCGGGAGGAACACCCAUGGCGAAGGCAGCAAACUGGGCAUUAACUGACGCUGAGGCGCGAAAGCGUGGGUAGCAAACAGG